AGAGUUUGAUCAUGGCUCAGAUUGAACGCUGGCGGCAGGCUUAACACAUGCAAGUCGAGCGGAGAUGAGGUGCUUGCACCUUAUCUUAGCGGCGGACGGGUGAGUAAUGCUUAGGAAUCUGCCUAUUAGUGGGGGACAACAUUCCGAAAGGAAUGCUAAUACCGCAUACGUCCUACGGGAGAAAGCAGGGGAUCUUCGGACCUUGCGCUAAUAGAUGAGCCUAAGUCGGAUUAGCUAGUUGGUGGGGUAAAGGCCUACCAAGGCGACGAUCUGUAGCGGGUCUGAGAGGAUGAUCCGCCACACUGGGACUGAGACACGGCCCAGACUCCUACGGGAGGCAGCAGUGGGGAAUAUUGGACAAUGGGGGGAACCCUGAUCCAGCCAUGCCGCGUGUGUGAAGAAGGCCUUAUGGUUGUAAAGCACUUUAAGCGAGGAGGAGGCUACUGAGACUAAUACUCUUGGAUAGUGGACGUUACUCGCAGAAUAAGCACCGGCUAACUCUGUGCCAGCAGCCGCGGUAAUACAGAGGGUGCGAGCGUUAAUCGGAUUUACUGGGCGUAAAGCGUGCGUAGGCGGCUUUUUAAGUCGGAUGUGAAAUCCCCGAGCUUAACUUGGGAAUUGCAUUCGAUACUGGGAAGCUAGAGUAUGGGAGAGGAUGGUAGAAUUCCAGGUGUAGCGGUGAAAUGCGUAGAGAUCUGGAGGAAUACCGAUGGCGAAGGCAGCCAUCCGGCCUAAUACUGACGCUGAGGUACGAAAGCAUGGGGAGCAAACAGGAUUAGAUACCCUGGUAGUCCAUGCCGUAAACGAUGUCUACUAGCCGUUGGGGCCUUUGAGGCUUUAGUGGCGCAGCUAACGCGAUAAGUAGACCGCCUG
rnacentral:rRNA from 1 species